CCUCGAAAAGGCAAACCCGGGGCGAUCCGGGGACGCAAAGCCUUGGAGGCAAACAGCUUACGAUGUUUGCCCAGCCAGGCUGCCGAAG
rnacentral:ncRNA from 1 species